UAGCCGACGAUGGGUAGCCGGACUGAGAGGUCGACCGGCCACAUUGGGACUGAGAUACGGCCCAGACUCCUACGGGAGGCAGCAGUGGGGAAUUUUGCGCAAUGGGGGAAACCCUGACGCAGCAACGCCGCGUGCGGGACGAAGGCCCUCGGGCUGUAAACCGCUUUCAGCAGGGAAGACGUCGACGGUACCUGCAGAAGAAGCUCCGGCUAACUACGUGCCAGCAGCCGCGGUAAUACGUAGGGGGCGAGCGUUAUCCGGAUUCAUUGGGCGUAAAGCGCGCGUAGGCGGCCGCCUAAGCGGAACCUCUAACCCCGGGGCUCAACCUCGGGCCGGGUUCCGGACUGGGCGGCUCGAGUGCGGUAGAGGAGAGCGGAAUUCCCGGUGUAGCGGUGGAAUGCGCAGAUAUCGGGAAGAACACCGAUGGCGAAGGCAGCUCUCUGGGCCGUCACUGACGCUGAGGCGCGAAAGCGUGGGGAGCAAACAGGAUUAGAUACCCUGGUAGUCCCAGCCGU
rnacentral:rRNA from 1 species